AUAGGCACUUUUCCGCUGGCCAAAGUGGUGUGUCCCUUCCGCCCCCCCCCCCCCAACUGCCAUAACAAAGUUUCAAAUCAGGCCCAGAGGACUGGACCCUCCCUCUCACUCUCCCUUUCCUUCUUGCUCCGAAGAGGAUGGAGACUUUGUUGCAAGCUAUCUGAUGACAAAGCUGAUUGAGGCCAAACUAGAGGAUGAGAUAUUUAAAGAUUCAUCUUUGAAGAGUUCAGGUAUGUGGAUGAUAUUGGCGUACGUGGAGAGACAACUGACUGACUGCUGGAAAUGCUGGAAGAGAUGCAAAAAACUGCAGAAUCUAUGGGACUUAAGACCAAUGGCGAUACAACCAAAGCUAUGCACGCCUCCUAUAAAAUGGAAAUGAAUGGCCUGCCAACACUGCAUGUAGAUGGCUAUGGCAUUGAAUGGCAGUGCUAUGGCUCUCUUCCCUUGGCCUUGCCCCUUUCUGAAGCACCCUUCAGCAUGCUUUUUAUGAAACAAGAGGAAACAAAAGUCUGUGUACUUUGUGCCAUGUCAGGAUUUGGUAUAUUCAUCACCGAUGCAGUUCCCAACGCCUCAGUCUGGUGUCUGACUAUGAAACCACAGCUUUUAUAAGGAUAUCACAAUGCCCACAAGAGAUCAGCUCCCAGAUGAAGAACAGAUGGUUCAAUCUGAACCCAGAAAAGACAGCUGAUGCUGUUUGGAAGAGGAACACUUUGAAGACUAGCUACAAUAAUGUCCUCCCCUUCUAUUGAAGGAAUCCAUUCCUCAUUUGUUAACAGAGGUCCUCCUGUUCCACUUAUCAUUGAACACAGCAUAUAAGUUACUGUACAUGAUGAAAAAUGCUUUCUUCCACCUCCAGUUCGCAAUGAAACAUUGUCUUUUCCUCCCAGACAAGGAUCACAGUGAUCUAUGCUUUCAUCAGCUGCAGACUGUGUUGCUAUCAUUUAUUGUAACUGGAGUCGAAGGUGGCAGCAAUGCAGAGGCUCCAGCUUGUACAGAAUGUGGCUACUGCUUCCUCGGUGGAAGGGGCUGCUAUUAAGCACAUCCAUCACUAUUCAUUAGUCCCUCCACUGGUUCCCAGUCCACCUCAUUGUCGGCUUUGUACCUUAGCUUUGAUCUUCAAAGCCAUUAACAAGUCAGGUGCCAACUACAGCAGCUACCACAUUCCCAUUUGUGAGCCUACAAAACAUUUAUACUCUUCUGAGACAAUGUAGCUUCACCUGGUCAAAGAUAAAGCACUCUCCACUGAGGCAAUUCAGCUGUGGAAUGAAUUUCCAAAGGAACUCUGACUUAUUCAGAGUCCAGCUAGUUUUAGGACAUAUAGCAAGAUCCUCUUCUUUGAUCAAGCUUUUCUUUUUUUACUGGAAUAUUUUUAAACAUAUAUCUUAAGCAGAGACUUGUAUAACCAAAGACGACCAGAAGACUCCAUGAGGUCUACUAGGCAUCUUCCUACGCUAACCUAAUUUACCUGGGGAGUAUUUAUAUAAUGCAGUGAGGGUGCUAUAGAAAACCUACUAGUAGACACACACAUGGCACUAUAGUAACAGAUAGCAAGGUUGAGUGUAAAUCAUGUUUAUUUCUACCAAAAGGGCUUUCUCUUUUCCUUUAAUUGUCAAUGUUUCAAAGGCUAAAUCCUCACCCCUCUGCUAAGUCUGAGUAGGGGAGGGGAGAAUGUAUUGUGAGGGCUAGAGGAUGGAAUCUCUCUCUCCUGUCUUUAGUGACCCCACUUUACAGCUUGUCUAUCUGUCUGGAAAGAAUUUUAGGAUCUACACAUUCUAUCAUUGUAAGAUAUCACUAUUCGAUAUUACCACCUUGAUACAUUAAAUAGUAAUGCACUAUUUCCCCCCCUUCUAUUUUCUCUUCUUUACUGGGCAGCAACACAGUUCAUGUGCCACAUAUUUAGUAUUAGCUACGGUUGUAUUUUGUCUGGUUGUUAAAACCAAUGGACCAACUUCAAACUCAGAGCUUUACCAGGGAUGAAUUUGGACCAAUAUGUUGCCUUCACUUGAAACAUCUAGAAGGAAUUCAGUCAAAAUCCCAAAUUAACUUUAACUCUACCAGAACCAGACAUUCCUGUUAGAAGAACUAUUCAGAAGAUCUUCACAGCAAUCCACAGCAGCCCUUAUGGAGUUUGCUGAAUGCACUGAAGUUAAGUAAGCUCAGGUUCAGGAAGCUUGGUGUUGUGUUACCAUGAUGACUACAUCACAGUGUGUCACAACAUCUGCCUAGAAGGCAUCAUGCUCCACAAUCCCAUCCCUAGAGCAAGGAUGGCAGUGUAAGUGGAAUCCAAAUGGUGACGUGAACACCUGCGCACCUUUGAUAGCAAUUGUGUGUAUGUAGGGUGUGGUGUGUUGGGAGAGAAGGGAAGGGAGCACAUACUGGUUAGCACAUCAGUAUCCACUAGGACAGACUAGUGAGAACAGAGGGACUAGGGGGCUUAGCAGGAUCUGACAGCUGAGGAACAAAGGACAGGAGUCUUACAGAAGACAGACACCAAUUAUUUGAAAAAAACAAAGCAUCCAGCUGUCUGCUUAGCGACCCAAUCCUAGAAGGCCCCUCUAGCCAUUGAGGCUGUCUGUCUGAUUUUUUUUUUAUUAUUAGUAGUAGUAAUUUUAUUUUUUCCUAGUAGGAAGUUCUGGCAAGUCUUCUUCUAGCCCAAUGUUGCAGACUCCAGAAUUUUGGAUAGCUUGGAUAAGCUUAUUUGCAACUGAAUUUUGAAUCGUACGGGGGUGCUCUCAAAAAAAUCACUCAUGGUGCGCUCCAAAUCACUUGACUGUCUGAUAGAAGGAGUGGCCUGAAGGUGGUGGGGAAAUAGAUUUAGAUGGAUCAAAUUUAAGGUAGUGGCUGAAAAGCUCCUAUGCAGUAAAGGCCUCUGUGAUCAGAUUAUUUUGUGUUUCAGUAAUUGACUGUUACUGGAAGUGGUAUAGACAGGAAGGCUACAGUUAAAACGACCUGAUCCUGAAAGACCACUGCAAGCAGACCUGCCUCUACAUCAUGGGAGAUCUGCAUGCUGAGAGUCUGCAGGGGUGGUCUUAUGGUAGAUUAGGCCCUGAAUGCUGAACAUACAGCUGCACUAGGCAAACCAAUUUUUUUAAAAAGCCUGUAAGCACAUACAAAUCAGAAAAGCUGACAUCUUUUUCAGCCCUCUGCAGUUGCAGGUGUGAUAGACUGCUUCCUGUUAGUGUGGCAACAUCAAAGUAAGCUAAGGCAAGCAAGAAUAAUAAACACACACCAAAUAAAUAGGAACUGCCAGGAAGCAAGGGAGGGGUGGAGCAACCCAUAAUCCUGUGAGCACCCCAGUUAACCCUUGACCAAGUAUGUGAAUUUCCUGAGUAGGGAAGGAGGGGUAAAUAUUGCUUUACAUUGCAGGAUUUUUGAUCUCGUUGCAAAGGAUGAUUCAGCUUGACAAAACGGGAGAAAGCAAGUAGACUGUCUUCCAGGUUUCAUAGCUAUCAUAUUGGGCUUUAUUUGAUGCCUGUAAAUGUUACUGAAUAGGCAACUUGUUUUCUCUGUCUUUAUAUGCACCAUGGAUGAUACCAGCACAAACUUCCAUCUGAUUAUAUAGUAUCAUUUGUAAUCAAGAUCAUGACACAUCUCCCAAACACCACAGUGUUGAAUUCUUAUGCUGUUUUGUUUUGAAAAUGUAACAUUAAACCCUGGCAAAAUAUCAAUAUAAUGAAAAAUGGGGGAAUGUCAAGCAAAGCUGUCUGCAGCCCACAAUGCCGUUACUUUAAGAUCUGGUUGUGCAGCUCGGCAGACAAACAGUGUGCACUAGUCUAGAGUAAGAUGGACUGUAGAUAAAUUAUUAAGCUUUUCUAGGAGGCGGAUGGGAUAUUUUCAUGUAGACAGCAAUGCAUCAUCACAUACAGCAAAGGGAUAAACAGACUUGGGCCAACUUGAUGAAAAUUGAUAAUGACUUGUACAUCCUUAUUCAUAACCAGUCAUAUCCAGAUUAAGGCAGUUUCAGCCAGCAAUUUCCAGAAUAAUCCUACAUAACACUUCCAGGCUUCCCUGAUCAUUAAUAUGUGUUGAUUGGGGG